rnacentral:rRNA from 1 species
UGGGGAAUCUUGCGCAAUGGGCGGAAGCCUGACGCAGCGACGCCGCGUGGGGGAUGACGGCCUUCGGGUUGUAAACCUCUUUCGCCAGGGACGAAGCUUUAUUGUGACGGUACCUGGAUAAGAAGCACCGGCCAACUACGUGCCAGCAGCCGCGGUAACACGUAGGGUGCGAGCGUUGUCCGGAAUUAUUGGGCGUAAAGAGCUCGUAGGCGGUGUGUCACGUCGGCCGUGAAAACUUGGGGCUUAACUCUGAGCGUGCGGUCGAUACGGGCAUCACUUGAGUUCGGCAGGGGAGACUGGAAUUCCUGGUGUAGCGGUGAAAUGCGCAGAUAUCAGGAGGAACACCGGUGGCGAAGGCGGGUCUCUGGGCCGAUACUGACGCUGAGGAGCGAAAGCGUGGGGAGCGAACAGGAUUAGAUACCCUGGUAGUCCACGCCGUAAACGU